UAUUCAAUAUAUCAUAUUUCCUCUCCUUAAACUCUCAGUUUUCUUUUCUGUCUUUACUUAGAAAAAGGAAGAAACUAGGCAUUCUGCAUUAUCUACAUAUCCAUUCUACAUCUAGAGCUCACAAUGACCCCCUUCCCUUUAAUUUAUAUUAAUGCCACUAUUGUUACAAGCCUGUAGUAUGGUAUUGAUAUUAUUGCUUCUAGUAAAUGAAUGAAUAUUUGUUGUACCUCUCUGUCCUGGAUCUUGAGCUGCCUACAUAGAAGGAUAUAAUAGUGGCUAUUGUUUAUUAAGCACAAUGUUUCAGGCACAGUCAUACAUGCCUUACAAAUAUUAUUUCACUUAAUCCUCCCAAUGAUGCUGUGAAGGAUAUAGUGUUAUUAUUUCAGAGGCAGAGAGAGUGUAACUAGCCAGCCUCAGGUGAAACAGCUGGCCAAUGGUAGAAGCAGAAUUUGAACAAAAGCAGUUGUCUCCAGCAGCAUUUGUAAUGUCAACCAGUGCACUGUCUGUAAGCCUCAUGCUCCUAGAUCUCAGACUUGUAUAGACCACAUGAUUGGCCAUUUUCUGUUCCAUCUAUAUAUAAUAUCCUCUUCAUUAAGUCUAGGGGAUCUUCUGGGAUUUGCAUUGCUUCUUUCAUAUCUUUAGUUUGCUCUUUGCCAAGCCAAUUAUAGGGCAACAAUAGUUGAAGUAGUAAUGAGAAUAAUAGAUAAUACAAACAUUUACUAACAUUGAUUAAAUUUCAUGAGCUAGGUACCUUAAAUUCAUUAUUUCAAUUAAUCUUUAAUACUUAAAAUUGUGUGUAGGGGUGCAGGGUAUAGUUAUAUUUAAUCUCACUUUACAGAAUAAAACAAGUUUGCAGAGGUUAAAUUGCAAGCCUCCAGUGACU
rnacentral:lncRNA from 1 species